rnacentral:lncRNA from 1 species
UCCUUGAGCAGGAGCUGAGCACGAGCUCUGAACGUAUCAGAGUCCUGGCUUCAUCAGCGGAGGAGUCCCAACUUCGCCAUCAACAGCUUAACCAUGAAGUCAAGACUUUGGAACGUAAAUGUUCAGCCCUGCUUAAGGUGGUGAAACAUGCUGAAGGCAAGGUCCUGCUAGAAUGCGAGAGGUGUCUAGCGGAAUAUCAGGAGUCGGAG